CUCACCCCGCAGUGUCACUGACACUAUGCUUCAUAUUUACUUGUUUGUUGACCGUCCCCUCCCUGUCUGCUUCCUGAGGCAGUGACUUUGCUCAUCCUCGUCACCGCUGUAUUCCCAGGGCCCAGUUGGGUGCCCAGCAGACGGUGGAUGCUCAGGAAAUAGCGGGGGGAUACAUUUUGCAGAAGGGGAAGCAGGCUCAGAGGGAGGGCGAUUUGCCCGAGAUUACACGGAGAAGAGAAGGCAGGACAGGGACUGGGGGAGGGACUGGGGCAGGGUCUGCGGCCCCGAGGCAGCUCUUCCCGGGGUUCCGGCCCCGUUGCUCAUCUGGACCGCCGGACCUGCACCGGAGCCGGCGCCCGGCUGGGUCCCACGGGGCCGGGACGGCGCGGCGACCCGGGAGCGGCCGGCAGAGGGCGCUGUCGACGCGCGUCCCCGGGAGGGAGGCGCGGGCCCGGGAGGCGAGGCCGCGGCGGGGCUGUAGGAGCCCGUGGGAGGCCUUCACCGGCCUGGGGACGGGUGCGGAGGGCGGCAGGCUUCCCGGGAGAUGACUUGUUGACCGCACCCCGAAGGAGCGAGGGAGGGACCGGCCCUGCAGCCAGACAGAGGGAUGAAGAAGGUGUCUGUGCGGGAUGGGAAGUGACCUCGAGCCGUAUUGUCAGAUGCUGUGAAUGAAAAAAAGCCAAGCGCUGAGCAGGGUGCAGUGCCAGGAGCAAUAGCAGCCAUCUUGCAAACAAGAGGAAAAAGCCAAGAGAAUUGCAGAGACACCAGCCCUGACAUCAUUUGCCUGGAAAAACAAUGCCAGCCAUAGCUGAUCUCCAAGCUCACCGUGAUAGGGGAAAAUAAACUCUUUGUCAAGCC
rnacentral:lncRNA from 1 species